GAUGAAGAACGUAGCGAAAUGCGAUAAGUAAUGUGAAUUGCAGAAUUCAGUGAAUCAUCGAAUCUUUGAACGCACAUUGCGCCCGCCAGUAUUCUGGCGGGCAUGCCUGUCCGAGCGUCAUUUCAACCCUCGAACCCCUCCGGGGGGUCGGCGUUGGGGAUCGGCCCUUUACGGGGCCGGCCCCGAAAUACAGUGGCGGUCUCGCCGCAGCCUCUCCUGCGCAGUAGUUUGCACACUCGCAUCGGGAGCGCGGCGCGUCCACAGCCGUUAAACACCCCAAACUUCUGAAAUGUUGACCUCGGAUCAGGUAGGAAUACCCGCUGAACUUAAGCAUAUCAAAGCGGAGGA
rnacentral:misc_RNA from 1 species